rnacentral:tRNA from 1 species
GCUUUAUUAGUAUAAUAAGUACAUUUAAUUUCCAAUUAAAAAGUUUUUUUUUAAAUAAAGCA